GCGCGAUUAGCUCAGCGGGAGAGCGCUUCCCUGACACGGAAGAGGUCACUGGUUCGAUCCCAGUAUCGCGCA
rfam:Rhodococcus rhodnii LMG 5362 LMG_5362_contig085, whole genome shotgun sequence.